GGAGAGUUGCCAGAGUGGACGAAUGGGCACGACUGGAAAUCGUGUGUGCCCGCAAGGGUACCGUGGGUUCGAAUCCCACACUCUCCGCCA
rnacentral:tRNA from 3 species